UGGGGAAUAUUGGACAAUGGGCGCAAGCCUGAUCCAGCCAUGCCGCGUGAGUGAUGAAGGCCCUAGGGUUGUAAAGCUCUUUCACCGGUGAAGAUAAUGACGGUAACCGGAGAAGAAGCCCCGGCUAACUUCGUGCCAGCAGCCGCGGUAAUACGAAGGGGGCUAGCGUUGUUCGGAUUUACUGGGCGUAAAGCGCACGUAGGCGGACUUUUAAGUCAGGGGUGAAAUCCCGUGGCUCAACCCCGGAACUGCCUUUGAUACUGGAAGUCUUGAGUAUGGUAGAGGUGAGUGGAAUUCCGAGUGUAGAGGUGAAAUGCGUAGAUAUUCGGAGGAACACCAGUGGCGAAGGCGGCUCACUGGACCAUUACUGACGCUGAGGUGCGAAAGCGUGGGGAGCAAACAGG
rnacentral:rRNA from 1 species